rnacentral:rRNA from 1 species
AUGAAGCAGUCCAUGGACAUGAGGGGGUUGUUGAGGUCAUCCACCAAUUCGCCACCCCCACCGCCGGCGUGGCCUGCCGUUGCCCGGACGCUCUUCCUCCUACCGGCUGAAUCUGUUGCUGAUCGACACGACGAGGAAGAAGACGACGACGAAGGCCUCUUCUUAUUCUUGCAAGACGCCGAGCCUCCUGCCACCGUUCUCAAAGGCGGCGCUCGAGGGGGCAACGGCCGCACGCGCCUCGCUGCCGCUGUCGUCGCCGGAGCUAUACGGUGGCUGUUGCUGCUGGUGCCAGGCUUCUUCUUCGUCGGAGAUAUGACCACGGACAGAGACGGGGGCGUUCUUGGCAAUAACAGUGGACGUCGAGCAGCGGAGGCCGGCCGGGGGAGCUUCUUCUUCUUCCUGUUGUUACUGUCGGGGUCGAGCACGACGACCUCCAUGUUGUCCAUGUCCCUGCAGGCGCGGACCUUGAGGUAUCCAGCCGAGAAGGGACCUGUACCUGACGACGACAACCACGACGAGGAAAAGGAGGGGUGA